AUGUGGUGCUUGGCAACAGUCCAGUACCAGACCAGUUGUGGAACUAUGUGUGUUGGAGCCAAAUAAAUGAUUAAAUAAAUUAACAAAUCAUAAUCUGUUGUCGCUUAUUACUGUUAAAUAAUAAAUUGUGCUUGUAGAACUGUUGUAUAAAAGCAAUAUCACACUCGAGGUCGUGCUGUUAUACUGAAUAUUAUUAUAUUUGUCCUGCGGCCUCGUACCUACGGCCGAAUCACAGCCGUGCUGAUAUUCAGCACUCUCAUGUGAUAUUGCUCAACUGACGUACGUUCAUCACAUUAUCUAGCUAAAUAAGGGAGGCCUAAAAAACUAAAAAGUCAAAUACGGUGCAAAUCUUUGAGUCAUCUAACAACACUAUGAAUGAAGAUGGAAUGGAUUACACCUAUCCAGGCAUGGACAAUAUGUCAACCGCAGUAUUAAAAGGUCAUGUUCAUUUGUUUAUACUCGUCUACCGUUCUCCUUAGCUAGCUAACGUUCAUUUGAAUUGGAAUGUUGGCAAACCAAGUUUGCUAAUUUUAACUAGGUAACGUUGACUUUUAGGAAUUAAUAACGGCACGAACGGCCAUUCGUUGAAAAAACUUGAACUUUGGUUAGAUUGAUAGUGCUUAAUUGCCAGAAAUGGUGUUAAUGAGGUGUAAAUGUGCCCUAAUGACUGACACUGUUGAUUAUUUAGCUUCCCAGUCUUUGGCGCCCUUUCUAUUGACAAUAGAAAAUAAAUAGAAAUGGUGCCAAAGACGGCGAAGAUAAAUUAUCGAUGGUGUCAGUCAUUGUCUACAAUCUUAGCUAGGCAAGCAAAGAUGAACUAAGAUUUUCAAUAUGGGAGACAAUUUAGCGUUAACGUGAGUUUCAUUAGCUUGCACAAUCUUUUGGUUUAAAGUAAUUGACGUCAACGUUAAUGAUAUACUGGUAGUCUAAUUUUGUUAGCUAACAUUAGCUAGCUUGGUUAAUCAUUCCUGCAUUAACUGGAAAGGGACUACCGUAUGCUAAUGUCUCAUAACCUAUAUCAACCUGACUCUUUGCGUCUAUAAACCAUGACUUAGUUGCUAAUUACUUAACUAUUUACCAUGUGGUUAAAUGUGUUUUUCAGCUGCUAAUAUAAGCACAGACAUGCUGCCCAGCCUCUCUAAGGAGGAUUUACGUGAUCUCUUUCCCUUCUUCAGAAGGAGAACCAUUUUGAGAUUUACUCAUGGUGAAAAUGAGUUACUAUAGAAUAAAUGUAUGUCUUAUACACGGUCAAGAAUCAGACCUGUGUAGACCAGGCACUUCCUCCCGGGGACCUGUGAUUUCAGAUCUACAACCAGUGGAGCUGAGUAGAAGCAGCUUUUGAAAAGGAUUCAGAAUGUUACAACCCCCAAAAAGAAGCAGGGAGCGACCCCUUCAAGAAAGUGGCCACGAAGCCUUAGAUUUCAGAGCAGCCAGGAGAUGAUGUUGGAGAGAAUCCCCACUAUCUAGAUGCAACACCCCAGAGGUUGAACAGUUGGGUGAAACUUCUGAGUGCCUACAGAACCAGGCGAGACAUUAUAAAACUCUACAGGAGAUGUAUAAAACCAAGUCCAGACCCAACCAGAAGGAUGUUUCCCAGCGUCUGGACCUUGAAUUCCAAGCAAGACGGGCCUUCAUCGACUCUGAUGCUACUAAGGAGCAGGACAGGCCUACCAAGAUUCUUCAAGCGUAUCCCUGCUUCAGAGAACUGGAUCAUGUAAGCAAAUGUAUUCAUUCUAUGUAGGCCUAUGCUUCUUUAGCCUGGUUAACACCAGACCAAAUCUCAAAUGAGAUAUGGUGUGGGAACUGAGCAGCGUGAGAAGCCAUAGCAGGGACGGGGGUAAACUACUUGGGGCAAAUGUAAAAACAGUGAGCUCGUGAGAAUUCGGUCUGGUUGUCUGUCUGUCUCUCGUGUUAUGUAUGAACUCCGGCGUAUCCUCGAUCGAGGGAACUGCUUUAUACCUGAACUGAAGACCCGCUGGGGGACCUUUUACAACAAGGCACAGUUUUAUGGAGUGUUCAAAAAGGUCAUGAAGCCACCGCUGUUGGACAAAGGUAAUUACUGGCUCUGUAGACAAUGGAGAAUCCCAUGAACGGAUUAAUAUCAUUCUUAAAUAUUUUAUUUGUGUCCAGACAAAUGUACUUGUUUUUAGUGUAGCUGUACUGGUUUUAAGAUAUAUUUACUAAACAUACAGCCUUAUUUCAAGAUGAUGGCACUAGCAUUUGCUAAAUUUAUGCACAUUUUCCUACAUAUUCAGAAAAUGUUCUUAAAUCUUUUCUUUGU